rnacentral:rRNA from 1 species
GAUGAACGCUAGCUACAGGCUUAACACAUGCAAGUCGAGGGGAAACGACAUCGAAAGCUUGCUUUUGAUGGGCGUCGACCGGCGCACGGGUGAGUAACGCGUAUCGAACCUGCCCCAUACCCGGGGAUAGCCUUGCGAAAGUAAGAUUAAUACCCGAUGGUUUCCUUUUAUCUCCUGAUAUUAGGAAUAAAGAAUUUCGGUAUGGGAUGGCGAUGCGUCCGAUUAGCUAGUUGGCAGGGUAACGGCCUACCAAGGCGACGAUCAGUAGCCGACCUGAGAGGGUGAUCGGCCACAUUGGGACUGAGACACGGCCCAAACUCCUACGGGAGGCAGCAGUGGGGGAUAUUGCACAAUGGAGGAAACUCUGAUGCAGCGACGCCGCGUGAGUGAAGAAGUAUUUCGGUAUGUAAAGCUCUAUCAGCAGGGAAGAUAAUGACAGUACCUGACUAAGAAGCCCCGGCUAACUACGUG